CUCCCACUUCAUUCACAACGUCCCCUUCCCUUCCCCACAGAGACCCCGCAUCCUAGUGCAGAUGUCUCCCUAUGACAACUUGCUCCUCUGUCAGCCUGUAUCCUCACCCCUGCCCCUCAGGUAUGUGCUCAGAUUGUGGAGAGGGGAGCUUUAAUGACCAAGGACAUGGUAGGUGCUGGGCAGGUGGGUGCAGCUGUUGAGGUUUGUGCAGGCUGGGUCCAGGUGGUGGCUGUACCUGGCAUCUGGGGAAGGGUCCCCAGGGUAUCCUGGUGACACUUUCCCCACCUCGGCAUUGCCUGCAGUGGUGCCAGCUUCCUGCAGCUGCUGCAGAGCCUGGGCCCUGAGCUGGCUAUCACACUGCUGCUGGCUGUGCUCACAGAGCACAAGCUGCUGGUCCACUCUCUGCGGCCAGACCUGCUCACCAGCGUCUGCGAGGCCCUCGUCUCGGUGAGUGCC
rnacentral:sRNA from 1 species